rnacentral:rRNA from 1 species
UACAGAGGGUGCGAGCGUUGUCCGGAAUCACUGGGCGUAAAGGGCGCGUAGGCGGCCUGAUAAGUCGGGGGUGAAAUCCUGUGGCUUAACCACAGGGCUGCCUCCGAGACUGUCGGGCUCGAGCACAGUAGAGGCAGGUGGAAUUCCCGGUGUAGCGGUGGAAUGCGUAGAGAUCGGGAAGAACACCUGUGGCGAAGGCGGCCAGCUGGGCCGACCCUGACGCUGAGGCGCGAAGGCGUGGGGAGCGAACGGG